CAACAUGGUAAUUAUUAGUACCUCAUUCUUGAUAUUACAUACUGGUUUGUAAUAUUUGAAUUUAUUAGGAAAAUUGAUUUUAACUCAAGGCAUCUAAGGUUUAUGUUUUGGUCGUUUAUAACUUUCAGUUAUUUUGUGUGCAUUCCUUGCCGAGACCAGGAUAGAACUGAGGUGGUUAAUGGAGCUAUCUCUAAGCCAUUUCCAAGUGUCUCUGAUGAAUGACACAUUGAUCAACCCAUAUUCUUCAGACUCUACCAUGUGAAGCCAAUGAAAGAUGCCUGCUGGUGACCAAAUGAUGUUCAUGUAAAAUGGCCAUUCUGGCAAAUUUAAUAAGCUUUAGAUUUAUUUUAAAAACCAACCAGUAUUUCUAUCCCUUCUCAAGGCAAUGUUUUCUAUUUGAGGUUUCACUUGACAUGACCAGGUAGGAAAAUUGAUGAAUAGUCAUAAGAAGAAACUUUAAAUGACUCUUUAAAGCUACCAGUGAGAGAUCUCAGUAUUUAUUACUGAUCAUGAGUCUGACGAUCAAUUCUUCUAAUAGAUUUGGUAGAUGACUUGUGAUGAAUUGUGAUUUUUAUGUUUAUUUGAAGAGCAGUAUAAAUCUAAACUGGUCAGAUUCAGAUAAGAUAACAUCCCAGUUGAAGAAAUUAUCAACUCUUUGGAAUUAUGUAAAAAAAAAUAAGUUAUAGCCCAGACCUAAUUCAUGCUCCUAUUUACAAAACUUAGUAUAGUAAUUAUUUUGUAUUUCUGCUGUGUUCAAGGCCUUUCAUGGUCUUGCCCCAGUAAUCUUAUCAACCUCAUUUAUUGCAGUAUAUAUUAAUAUAUUUCUAUGCAUCCCAGCUCCUUCCCAGAACACCCCCACACCUUUGCUCAUGCUGGUCCAGCGUCCUACAAUCUCCUUUCCUGCCAUCCAGAAUUGCUGAAUUUCCACCCAUCCCUCAAGACCAAUUUAACCAUUAAGGCCAACUCAUCUAGAAAGCUUACUUUAGUUACUACUUCCAUUCAGAAUUAACAGCUUCUCUGCUUAUGUGACACUUUAAUUU
rnacentral:lncRNA from 1 species